rnacentral:lncRNA from 1 species
AGUUCCAACAUUGCUGAUGGGCCAAUGAAGGGAGGUGGGGUUUUCUGGGCUGCGAGGUUUUCUGGGCUGCAAUGUGGAGGUCAGCCACACAGUGAGCCAGCAUCCCGUGUGUACAGCAUGUGUACAUGCAUACAACGCAGUGGAUGCUGACGAGGGUGUGCAGGCCAGUGUAGGAUGGCUCUGGGAUGGAAGGAGCAUCUCUCAUGCACCUGUGCAGGUGCAACGUGUCCUCUGCUGGCUUGACGUGGACGCUCCCCAGUACCAGAGAAUGGCAGCAGCUUUGUGCCCCUGCAAGCCCUGAUUCGAGAGGAGGCUGGAGGCGUGCUGUCUCCGGCUGAGGAUGGAGUGCCCACUUUGUUCAUCUCUGCUCACUGGGGGAGCCAGGACACGGAUCCAGGUUUUCUGACUCCAGGUAGGCACCCAAAUCAAGACUCAGAUUUCCUCAUCUCAGAAGUUGUCCACUUCUUCUCCGACCUCCACGGUAACUCGGAACCACACCGUGGAGUUAUCCCUGUGUCCUCUUUCUCGGAAGUUCCACAUCCAACCCCUCAGCAGGUCUCAGCGGCACUCUCACCACCUCCUCUGCUCUGUUCCUGUUUCUCUUGGAUGGUCGAAUGUUUCCUAAGGAGUGUCUGCUGCUUCACGCUUGCCCCCUGGAGUGGCAUCUAAAAGGAUACCCUACAACUAACAGGCAUGAUGCCAUCAAGACAUCUUGAGCCUGGCUACCUCCCGUGGCCUGUAUUUUGUCCACAGGAAACUCGCGCAGUCUCACUACAGCAAAUUGAGGUGGUAUGGGGUGCCUGCUGCUGCCUCUCUCUUCACCUUUCCACAGAGGGCUGCCCCAGCCUGACUCCCACUUCCAGAGUUUCUCCAGCCAGGAGAAUCCUGAAAUCUCUGUAAAUAAGCAAUCCAGGAGCCAGAGAAUCAUGGGAUCUCAUAUAAACAAAUCAUCAAGGAAAAACACAGCCAGAGUCUCCAUUUGGUAAACCUCCGUGACUGGGGAUCCCCGGCCACCCAGAAAGCAGUAUUGCCUGCCAUGCAUGUCAUCACUGAUUUUUACUGCUGCAGCAGACUCCGUCAGACCUGCCUGCUGCUUCAGCGAAUUGUUCAGUGCACACCACCAGCUACCUGCUGUAAGCAUUCACACUCCUCUACCUGCCUGGCAGCAUUUCUCAGCUGAACACAGGCCAGGCCAGAAGUGCCAGGGAUUUAAUGCCCUUAGAAGUAGCUCUCUACCAAUGACAAAUGGAGCUGGUGGAUACAUUCUCAGCUUCCUCCCCUCUCAGGUGGAACAGCCCUGAGAUGUGCUCUAUGCAAUCUCCCACAAGUCCCCAGCAGGCUCAAGCUCCCAUUGUCCAACCCUGGUAACCUGCUCAUUGACACCCCUGUCUUGCCUUCCCUUCCUGGCCUCACUUUCUCACUCUCUUACUGUUGCCUCCUGAGAUCGCAUCCAAAAUAAAUGACCUGCACCCA